rnacentral:rRNA from 1 species
GAAGUAGCUAGCCUAACUGCAAAGAGGGCGGUUACCACGGUGUGGCCGAUGACUGGGGUGAAGUCGUAACAAGGUAGCCGUAGGGGAACCUGCGGCUGGAUCACCUCCUUAA